rnacentral:rRNA from 1 species
ACAGAGGUCCCAAGCGUUGUUCGGAUUCACUGGGCGUAAAGGGUGCGUAGGUGGCGGGGUAAGUUUGAUGUGAAAUCUCCGGGCUUAACCCGGAAAUGGCAUUGAAUACUAUUCUGCUCGAGGGUUGGAAGGGAGACUGGAAUUCUCGGUGUAGCAGUGAAAUGCGUAGAUAUCGAGAGGAACACCAGUGGCGAAAGCGAGUCUCUGGACAACACCUGACACUGAGGCACGAAAGCCAGGGGAGCAAACGGGAUUAGAUACCCGGUAGUCCUGGCUGUAAACGGUGCACAUUUGCUGUAAGCGGAAUCGACCCCGCUUGUGGCGAAGCUAACGCGUUAAAUGUGCCGCCUGGGGAGUACGGUCGCAAGAUUA